rnacentral:rRNA from 1 species
UAAACUACGAUUAGAUACCCUAUUAUUUUAAAUGUAAAUUUAAAGUUAAAAACCUGAGUAGUAGUAGUUAUGUUCUUGAAACUCAAAGAAUUUGGCGGUGCUUUAGUCCUUUCAGAGGAACCUGUCCCGUGAUCGAUAUUCCUCGUUUAAUCUUACUUGGGUUUGUUAUGUCAGUUUGUAUACCGCCGUCGUCAGAAUGUCCUAUGAGGGUAUAGAAUUUUCUUUAAAUUUUUAGUGAAUUGGAUGUCAGGUCAAGGUGCAGCUCAUGCUCAAGUGGAGAUGGGUUACAAUAAAUAUAAAUUUAUACGGAAGAAUAGAAUACUUGAAAGAUUAGAAUUUUGAAGGUGGAUUUGAUUGUAAUUGUUUAGAUUAAGAUAGUUUGAUUCUUGGCUCUAAAGCAUGCACACAUCGCCCGUCGCUCUUA